rnacentral:rRNA from 1 species
UACAGAGGGUGCGAGCGUUGUCCGGAAUCACUGGGCGUAAAGGGCGCGUAGGUGGCGCUCCAAGUCUGUGGUGAAAGCUCGAUGCUUAACAUCGAGUCGGCCACGGAGACUGGAGGGCUCGAGCACUGUAGGGGCAGAUGGAAUUCCGGGUGUAGCGGUGGAAUGCGUAGAGAUCCGGAAGAACACCGGUGGCGAAGGCGGUCUGCUGGGCAGUUGCUGACACUGAGGCUCGAAAGCGUGGGGAGCAAACAGG